rnacentral:misc_RNA from 1 species
CUUCGGCUGGAUCAUUA